AGUGAACGCUGGCGGUAGGCCUAACACAUGCAAGUCGAACGGCAGCACAGAGGAGCUUGCUCCUUGGGUGGCGAGUGGCGGACGGGUGAGGAAUACAUCGGAAUCUACUUUUUCGUGGGGGAUAACGUAGGGAAACUUACGCUAAUACCGCAUACGACCUACGGGUGAAAGCAGGGGACCUUCGGGCCUUGCGCGAUUGAAUGAGCCGAUGUCGGAUUAGCUAGUUGGCGGGGUAAAGGCCCACCAAGGCGACGAUCCGUAGCUGGUCUGAGAGGAUGAUCAGCCACACUGGAACUGAGACACGGUCCAGACUCCUACGGGAGGCAGCAGUGGGGAAUAUUGGACAAUGGGCGCAAGCCUGAUCCAGCCAUACCGCGUGGGUGAAGAAGGCCUUCGGGUUGUAAAGCCCUUUUGUUGGGAAAGAAAUCCAGCCGGCUAAUACCUGGUUGGGAUGACGGUACCCAAAGAAUAAGCACCGGCUAACUUCGUGCCAGCCGCCGCCGUAA
rnacentral:rRNA from 1 species